AGGUUCCUGCCAAAGUGCAGCUUUUGGUCUGGUUGGGAGUCUUUAAGAGGCUUCUUGGACAGGAGGGUUGGGCAGGUCACUGGGGUAGGAGUUGGGAAGCGGUCACACUCAUGAGUAGAUUCUCGUUUUGCACUGAUCAAAUAUUCUACCGGAGCUUCCAGAAAUGUUAUUCCCUUGCAGAAUCAAAGGCAAUUGCAAGGCAUUAAAAACCAAUAUGCCUUCAGUGUGUAGGCUCCGGUCUCACCCCCAGCUGUUCACGUUGCCACCCAGUCCUGUCUCAGAUCUCAUCAGGCCACCUGUUCUCCCUCCCCAUCCCCAGCUCAGUGCCAUCUCCUCUCCUGGCAACUCCCUCUUCUGACUCCUCUCCUUCUGGGGCACGUGGCCUCUGGUGGGCACUUCCAAAUGGUCAAUGUUGUCACUCACCCUGGGCUUAGAACUGUCUAUGACUCUUCAGGAUUCAAUCUAAGAGAAAAGCCCCAACCUGGUUUGAUCCUAGAAUGUCUGGCGAAGCCCGGCCCCUCCUUUCCCACACCGGUGCUCAGGGCAGCUUCGAGCGGCCCCUCCUUUCCCCACACUUUCACUCAGGGCAGCUUCGAGAACGUCCUGCAGCUGCCUGGACAUGGCACCACUGUCUCUCUCUGUGCGUGUCCACUGCUGUUCCCUCUGCUGUCUCUCUCUGUGCGUGUCCUCUGCUGUUCCCUCUGCUCUCCCCUCACCCCCACCUGGCCGGCCCGCCUUGCCCCGACGCCCCUCUUCAGGAAGCCUCCCCAUCCCUGUCUCUGGUCUCUAGUGCUGCAUUCACCACCUUAUUCCCUUUCCAUGUGUCUCAUUUCCUCCCGGGCUUCCUUCCACCUCGGUGCAUUCUGGGGCCAGAAGCAGCUUUGAGCCCUGUGGAUGUGAGACAGACGGACCAGUGCGUGUGGGGGAAGAAGAGACCCAGAGACACAGGCUGGGAAGACCACGCGCCGAUGGAAGCAGAGAUUGGGGCGAUGUGGCCAUAAGCCAGGGAAUGCCAGGAACCAGCAGAAGCUGGCAGGGGCAAGGAAGGACCCUCCCUGAGAGCCUCAGCGGACCCAGCCCAGCCGACACCUCGAGUUUGGAUUUCUGCUUCCAGAGCGUGACCCAAGGGGCUCUCACGUGGAGUCCCCAGAAUGGCACCAACUCCUCACGAUGCUCCUGACGGUGGUGGACAGACUCUCCAUGCCCCGAUGAAGUUGUGAGUCACAUACAUCCCUGUCCACAGCACCUGAUACACAGUAGGUGGUCCAAUAAAUGCUUGUGGCACAAGUGAAUGAACUUGGAACCACCCAUCUAGUGGAAAUGGUAAAUUAUAACAAAACCCAAUGGACCGUGAAAGCCAGGGUCAAGGCUGGGGCCUGCUGAGGCUCUGUCAUCAAGGGGGUUUUUGUGCUGGUAAAGAUGAUGACUGCCCUGGUGCAGGGCCCCUGUAGCCCAACAUGUCUAGUCCGUGGCAGGCUCUUAGUGGGGAUGAGGGGCCUCCAGCAGGAGCAGGCCUGGGCACAGACUUCUGACCUGGGCACGGGGGAAGCGUGAUGAGAGGUCAGAGCAGGCUCUUGGCCUCAGGUCAAAGGACAGGAGUCCUCCUGACUCUGCUGUGUCUGAAGCCCACAGUUACGCACCGCAGAAAAAGAAGUGCUUGACCCUUUUGUUUUCUCCAGGGUUGGGAUCCCUGAUAUGGUUGGGCUGUGUCAGACCCAAAUCUCGCCUUGAAUUGUAAUGAUCACCACGUGUCAGCAGUGGGGCCAGGUGGAGAUAACUGAAUCAUCGGAGUGGUUUCACCUGUGCUGUU